GGCCGUUGCGUUCACAGAUGUUGCUUUCAUUUCCAUCUCCCAACUCGGACCCUGGAAAGCAAGAUCAUCUCUCAGGCUGCGGAGCCCUAGCGGAGUGGGAUCUGCCACGAAGGGCCACGGCACUGCUGCCCCUGCCCCCCUCCCCAAGUCUCCAGCCCCGGUGACCGGCCAGCUGCCACACAAGCGCACACACAACCACGCACACCCACGCAUGCACGCACACAUGCACGCACACACGCGCUACACUCCCUCCAACAGUGUGGUGGACAGAGACCCGCAGUCUUUCAGAGAUCAAAUUGGCUGGCAGCAGAGGGUCAUGUGAUGAGGGCUGGGAGAGCAGAGAGGCAGUGAGACGGGCAGUGGGGUCCUAGUGGAGGAGGUAGGGUGGGGUGGGGGGCUUUUCUUUAUUCUUGGGGAAACACUUGUUCUCAAUAUAUUUCUUUUCCCACUGGCUCGAGUGAGCGCUUCCUGACUCUUUGGAAGCGGAGUGCGUAAUCGCCAUUCCUCCAUCCCUACCUGGGCCGGCUCAGCUUCUAUCUCCACCACAAGGAAGCCCCAGCCCCAUGAGCGGCCCCCAUUUUUCACCCCCUCCUGUUAUUUCCCCCAAAGCUAGUUGCCCUGACUUGCAUGUAUGGGGGGAGGUGCCCUGGACCAGACUUUAGCUUGAAAGCCCUCCUGCUUGCUCCUACCCACACCUGUCUUGGUGGCUGCAGAAAGUAUUGUUCCCCUCCCUGGCCUUGGACUUGGCUGUGGUGACAGUGAUUGUGCCAGCUGGGAAGCCAUCGUGUGUGGGGCAGGGUCACAGAGCGGUGGGCCAGGUUGUUAGCCAGGGACUCUCCCCCAGCUGCCCUUCCCUCUGUGCCACCUCUGGCAUUUGCGUGUGGCUUCAGUCCCCAGGUGCAGGGGACGGGGUGCUCAGUGAGAAGGUUGGCAUGGACACUGCAGAGCCACAGAGAGGCUGGCAUCUCUUUGUGCCACCUGGUGUGCCCUGAUGUUUUGCCUUUUUUCCUCCCUGUUUACCUGCAUUGAGCUAGGGCAGCAGGUCACAGUUGUGACUCAGCUCUGGCAACACGUCUUAACAAAGUGCUGCCAGCCAGGCGAGUUAUGCCAGGCUGCUGGGGACCAAAGAAGAGUGUGGCCCGGGGGGAGGGCAGGAGGCAUGUGGAUCUGCCUCUGGCUGCCCUGGCUCUUGUCUUGAUCAUGGCUGGGGCGGGAAGCCAGGCGAGGGCUGCGUCUGGCCAGUGUGCCAGGACUGUCCCUCUGUUCACGGCUGCCCCUGCCAGUGCCUGGGGUGUGUGCAGGGCUGGGGGUAGGUAGAGAGGGCCUAGACCUGUUUCCAGGGGUGGAACUGGAAAUCAGUCCCUACACUGGGACUGGGACUGGGACUUGGACUGGGAAGGGGGUGGAUCCUAGAACCAGUCCCAGCUUCGUGAAGAGGGUGGUAAAUGACAUCAGAGGACCAUCUGCUCCUUUCCUGCCUCUGGAGAAGUCACUCUCCCCUGGGGCUCAGGCUUGGAGGCCCUAGGUGCCCCUUCCUCAUCCCCAAGCAGGGGUCGGGGUGAGGGGGCUCUCCAUGGCUCAGCGCUUCCCGGCGCGGCAGGGCAGCAGUGGCUCUCACUCGCCACUAGGGGUCGCCCCUGCCCAGUCGGAACUACCCGGGCGCGCCCGGCCGCCGCAGGUUGCCCGAACCGGGAAGAGCGCGGGCGUCUCCGGGGCUGGGGCUGGGGAAGGGCGCGGCGCCGAGGCUCUGUCCCGAGGCUCUGGCCACUGAGUCCUCCCGGCCGACCCGCGAGGGUCCGUUUGGGAGGAGGGGCUCUCGCCGGAUGCCGCCCGGGGACCCGCGAGGCCGGGCGCAGAGGGGGUGUGUGCGCCCGCACACAAAGGUCCUUCCUGGAGCUGAGCGCUCCCUGCCGGCUCUCCCUUCCCCGUCGCCAGAGGGGGAGCCGCCGCUCAGGGGCGGCCCAGGCGAAGGCGCCGCGGCGGCCGCCCCCGGUGGCCCCAGGGCCUUGCGCGGGCGCGAGGGGGCGCUGGGCACUCAACCGGCUCGGCCGGAUCCCCGCGGUCGCGCGGGACUAGGACUCUGCGGGUUUCUUUUGUGAACGGAGGGAAGGGCCCUCCGCCCUCUGAAAAUGGUCAGCCCGGGUUCUCGGGACUGCGUGCCCCGAAUAACAGAUUGUGUUCUCUCGGGUCGCCCUCUGGGCCCCACCCUGCGGAGCUUGGAGCUGGUUCAGCUUCUCCGCCGGGCGGGUCUGUUGGGGGUUCCCCAAAGCAUCACCGUGAGCGGCGGCGUCAGGAUCACCAGGGGCCCACCCCGUCGCCUGAAUCGGAAUCUCUGGGAGGGGCCCAGGAAUCUGUAUUUUUGGGACCCAGGCACAUGCAAGUGGCCUCGUAAGUUCUCUCUAGGCUGAGAGGAGCUGGAAGCCUCCACCAAGGAUAAGCUGCUUUGAGGAUCUCGUAAGGGAUCUUGUGUACAUAAUGGAGCCUCCUGGGAUUGGUUCGUUAAGACUGUGAGCUCCUUAAGGAUGAGCACCCCCAUGUCUUAGCCAGCCUGCGUGUUGCCCCAAAUUCUCCUGCAGGACAACUAAUAAUCGCCUCAUGUGAUUGGCAGGGCUUGAGAAGAUGCCUUCAGCUGAAACUACGGGGAAUGCUAGAAGCGGAACAUUUUUUUUUUUUACUUGUGCUGAACACCCAAGAUGACUUAAGAUAACAGGUUAUUUUGCUUUCUUGUUCAAAAAAGUGCUUUCUUCCAAGCAGCACAUUUCUUAAAUGAUUUCCAAAAUGAUUUCCAUAACCAUGCCUCCUCUAACUGAGUUCUCAGCAAACUGAAGUAAUAAAGCUGAAAAACCAGAGACUGUUUUACUGGGUCUGGCAGUGAGGAAAACACUGCCGGUAGCACAGACGGAGUCCUCUGAUUCUGGGUAUUUUGAACGUCAGUAUCUGCAACUGUAAAAUGGUAGCGAACACAGUAACUGCAACCAUCUUUGGAGUUAUUGUGAACUUUCGCGAUGAUGCAUGUAAAUGGCCUCAGUGGUGCUUAUUAGCUGCUAAAAAUGGUAGCUGUUGCUUCACCAUAAAUAGUGCUAAUACUACUGCUAAUAAUAAUUGGAUAUCUGAAGCCACUUCCCUGAGAGAACUGAAUUUGACCAGAAAUGUGUUGUGCAGGCUUUAUAGGUUGAAAAUAACAUACUUGUCAGCCUUCAUUCCUGUGUAAUUCUUGCCAAUUCUCUUCCUUAAUCCUCUUAUAAAAUCCAAAAGGUAAAUAGCAACUCUUUUUCUUGUAAUUUGUUCAACAAAUGCCUUUGCUGUGUAAUGAUCUGAGGGCUCCCAAAGAUGAGCAAGAUGUUUUGGCCCAAGAGGGUCCUCACCAAGACAUGUUAAACUUAGCAAUUUGCAAGAAGACCAAGUUACAUUUACCCUGAAAGGUGCAAGAUAACUUCCUCACCAGGUGGUAGGACAGGCCCUUUGCCUCGCAGAGAAUGGAGGGAGUUGUGUUCAGGAGUUUCACUGCCAGGCAACGCAACAUCCUAAAGUUAGUGGGUGAAUUUUGGGAAGACAAUGGCUAGCUUUGGAGGACGGAAAACCCGUACCUUCUAGCAUCUGGGCCAAGGGAUGCCUCCAGGAGCAAGGAGAGCAAACAGCUGUUUACAGAAAAGGUGUCCACCUCUGUUCUCUUGACAGUGCUGAGACACUGACUGUUGACUGACGAAUUCUUAAUUUGACCAGGAGGGGGAAAAAAGGUAGCAAUCUUAUAUUUACACAAGACCCUGACAACUGAGAACCGAGUCCAUUUGACGGUCCGCAUUAAUUCCAUGCACCCGAUAACUGUUCACUUCCUCACAGCACCUGCCAUACACAGACAUGGUUCUGGGUAAAGUCGAAAAGAAAGGUGAAAUACAGUUCUGACCUUUACCCCUCCCCCACCCGAUCUUGACUUUGAUGCCAAGGAGGUGCCAAGAUUCUGCCUAAGAGAUGCCUUUUUUAAAAAAAUGUAUUACUUUCUUUAGAUCACUGGAAGAAUUACAGCUUAAUCACAAGAGCUGGCGUGGCCUUGGUGUAAUAGGCAGCUUUCUGUACAAUCGCAAAUAAUAGGCCUGUCUGAGUGUGCUGGAAAUGUGUGUUGCCUGGCAUCCCAAGAGGGGAUCUUAAUUAAAGCCUAAUUAUGUACCAUAAAUACUUUUAUUGGGGGACCCAGGAGGUAGGGGUUUUUGAUUUGGGGAGAUGUAGUGCCUAAUAGGUAGUCAGGGAACGAAGUGUAAACAGCCACGGAGCCCUUUAAUUUGUCCCUCCUCCGUGUGGUUCUGAAUGGGCUUUCAGAUCCAGCCUGUGCUUCCCCAAAGGCCCGCCCCGGGGCCACCCCGUCAGGGCCACCUCUGUGCACAGUCACCGAGCCAGGGCUAUGAUCAGACACGGAAGAGCCGGCUCGGUUCUGGUGGUGCCGGAACAGGAGGGAAGAAAUCAAAUGAGUCUCGAGAGAUGGUGGGAUUUUAUUGGUUGCUCACUCCUGAAGUGCUAGCAGGCUCAGUGAAGUGGCAGCAGCUGUCCCGUCUUCCUGCUCCCUGCGCCACACCUCCUGCUGCUGUUCACAGCGCUGCCCUCUGCCCGGGCCCCCCUUCCGCCCACCUGCCUUCUUCUGGAAGCUCGAAGUCCCCCCCACCCCGCCCCCUGUGGCCUCCACUGUGCUGUGUGCCCUGCCAAGGGCGACUUACCACACGAGGUGUCCUAGGGGCAGCCGUCCUGGUUCCUGCCCGGGAGGCAUCUGACUUGGGUCUCAAAGUCACGGAAGACCCGGAAUUCGCCCGGCGCAAAUGGCACCACUAUCACACCCCUUUCCAGCCUAUCGUCUCCGGCGUUCCUGACAGAUGCAGGAAAGUUCUUCCCCACUAAGUUCCCAUGUGGAAGCUCGUGGUCCCUUCUCCUCUCCCACAGCCAGUCUAAUUAGCUGUUCUGGCAGCAACAUAUGGUGGCUGCAGGGUCUCACUCACAUAGGGCUCUCUCCCCCGAUCUUCCAGCUGCCCCAGGUUGGGAGGUUGUGGUCAUGCCCUAAUCUGGCCUUUCUGCUGCAAGGGGGAAGCUCGACGAACGAGAAGGAAGCAGGGAGAUCCUGGUGGGCUCACGGGAAGGGAGAGCGAGCGAGGGGGGAGAAGCAGGUGGAUGGGGGCGGGGGUGUGUGUCCACGUGGAGUUAAUGAUUUGUUCCUAACCUCGCGCUCAAUCUGCCGACCCGGCUGGAGGCAGAAUACGGCCCCCCUCAUGCAUGACAGAUUUCUCAGCUCUGCCACUCACCAACUGGGUCACCUUGGAUCAAUGGCUUACCUCCUCAGAACCUGUUUCCUCGCCUGCUGGAGGAGGCAGGUGCUUUCUCUAGCCCCGCCCCUCUGAGGGUGGUCCUGAGACCCGCAGCUGCUUAGAAAUGCAGGCUCUCCGCCUACCCCAACCUACUGAAGUGGAACUGGCAGUUUAUCAAGGUCCCCAGGUGUUUCUCAAUAUCUUUAAAAGUUUGAGAAGCCAGGCGAUAAGACCUUUUUCCAAACCUCUGCCAUGAGAAUCACCUGUGGAGCCUAUUUAAAGACCACUUUGCAGGUGCCUUCAUUGGAGAGUCUGUUGCACCGGGCCAGGAACCGGAACCAGGGCAAGAUUUUGGAAGCAGGCUCACCGGACUUCAUCCAGAUCCGUUUUCCUGGCACAUAACUGGCGGGACUCUGCCCGGGCUCCAGAUGGUGAAAGUAUCAGAAUCCUAUCCCGAUUAGCAGAGCAAACGGUGCUCUUGGAAAACUGACAGCUGAUCUUCAUCUUCUUUGCCAAGAAAUGUGGUGACAACGUGUCCUCAGUCCUUGAGAGCUGCGCUUUGGGAACAGUCCCCUGCCCAGCAAGGAUGCAGGAUCUUGGAAGACGAGGAGGGUCCAUGAUGGAUUUCUUCAUUGAAGGUUACUAUCCUCCAAGUCCUGGGCUGAACGCUUUCAUCGUUUUCUAUGGGGACAUCUCCUAACCCUUCUCUGUAAUGUCCUUAAGACAAAAGGCAAAAUAGCCUGCGAUGCUCCUGUCAUCCCAGUCAACUCCUCUGUGCAAGGUGUGUUCUGGGAACACUGUUUCCUGUUCAUACAGAGAGACUGUUUGCUUCUCUUUGUUGUUGUUGUUGUUUAGGGCCACACCCAUAGUGUGUGGAGGUUCCCAGGUUAGGGGUUGAAUCGGAGCUGUAGCUGCCAGCCUAUGCCACAGCAAUGCCAGAUCCAAGCCAUGUCUGCAACCUACACCACAGCUCUUGGCAAUGCCAGAUCCUUAACCCACUGAGUGAGUCCAGGGAUUGAACCUGCAUCCUCAUGGAUAUGAGUCAGAUUCAUUUCUUCUGAGCCGCAACGGGAACUCCUGCUUUGCUUCUUAAUCUACUAAGUCAUCCAGUGUCUAGCUGGUCCUGCAGAGCUGCGGUUUCUUUCCCUGUUAAAUUCUAAUCUGAUUAAACAGGUUGCAGGGUUGUAGGUAACUUUGAAAAGGGUCUAAAAUUAAAUUGCUAUAUUAGGUUGGUUUAUAGAAAUGUGGCCUGGGAUGUGACUGAGGGGGGAGAAGGAAUUCUGGAAGCCUCGGGAGCUGCACCUCCGUUGACUGCUGCUGGAGCAUCAUUUGCAAGAAAAGCUGGACACCAAGGCCAUUUAUACUGAAUCUAAUGUUAGUAUGACACUUGAGAGGCUCAGCCGUCCUCACAAUGAUCCUGUGAGAUAAGCAUAAUAAUGAGGAGCUCCUUGAUGGGAAAUUGAAGUACUUUAGAAGUAAAGUGCUUUGCCUGAAUUCACAGGGUGACGAGGGACAGAGCUGGCCCCCCAUGAUAAAGUGUUCUUUGUACUAUGUCACGCCACUGACUUAAAUGUAUUUAGGAGGUACCGUUUAAAGCGGUAAAGAAAGCCUCAGCACAGGCUUGAUAGCAAUUGUUUUAUCUUGAAUUGAGAUUAAACACAGUCUGCAUCACCAGCCGUGAAAGCCACUGGCUGGAGGGAGGAGGUUGCGCCAUAAUGGAGUGGCUACCAUGUUAACUGUGCAUUGGGGGAUCUGCCUACCCUCGGGCAGGUGUCUGGAAAUGAUAUCUUCAUACUGAAUCUAUUACUUGAUGGUAAAUGCCUGGCUUAUUCCAGGCCCAUCAGAAUUGUGAUGCUCUGAGACUGGGUUGAGGAAUGAACGAGUGAUGGAAAUCGCAACACGAGUGUCAAAAUUUGAUGGUAGCCUGCUUCACGUAGUGAUUGUACAGGGGAAAAAUGCCCAUGGGUUAAGCAAUCCACUCUCAUACAACCCACUCGAUCACGGAGUGAACCUGCCUUCUCAAAUCAGAGGUAAAGCGUUCCGUGGCGUUUUCAGGCAGGGCAAUCUCUAGAAGGACCUUACUCAGGGAAUGUACCCCAAGGGAAGAGGGCAUGGGUUGGGUUUAUUCCAUCUCAUUGAACUGUUUCUUCCUCCUGCCCCUUUGUGACUGAGAGGAUCUUUUGCAACUCUGGCGUCUGAUGUGACAUUCCCUACACUGAGCUCCGGAAGUUGGAUCAGUUUGUCUUGGGUUUUCCUUUAGAAGGUGCCAGCAUUUUUAUCCUGGGAAACCAGCCCCAGCAUCUGCCUGGCUUUGGGGAGGGGCCCUGUAGAAAGAGGUUUGAUAAAUUCUGCAUUCCCUCAGGAUUGCAGAUAUAGCAGGGCAGACUCAGACUACGAAGGUUUAAGAACAACCAGAUUUUCACAGAAAUUGGGGUGGGUGUCCAAACCUGGGGGACUCUCCAAACCAACCCAGGGUCCUGGCAGUUGAAGAUUUCUGGGAUUGGGUUUGAGAUGCUUAAGGGUUUUCUGGCUUCAUUUAUACCAAGCAAAAAUGGAAGGAUUGAGUGAGGAGGGACUGGUAUUAUCAGGACCCAGCCAGAUGGCUGUUGAGAGGGAUGCAUUUGGUGACAUUUCCCCCUCUCCCUGCCCUUCCUGUGCUGCUGUAUCCAGAGGCAAACCCUCCAGGAUUCCCCAAAGAGUAUCAAUAAUGCAGGGAGCAAAGCAAAGCUGAAUUUCACUGUGGAAAAUUCUGAUUUUGUUCGUCUUCUUGAUAGAGAAGAUGCAAGCUUGCAGGGCACUUGUGCAAUCAAUACCCAAACCUUUGAGGAUAGCAUCAUCUGAAAGACUUGAGAGUAUUCAGUACUGUUGUUUCGAGUUCUCUGACAUAUGGAGGUGUGGUGACACAGAACAAACGUGGAAAAUCCUGUCCCGUGCUUUAGAAAUUGCCAGUUUUGGGAAUGUUACCACCUUGUGGUCUUUAUUUCGUAAUUACUUUUAUAUGUACAACUGUGUCUUUUUUUUUUCUAAGAUGUGGUCUGGGUAUUUUGCAAUGAUGAUUUAAAGAAGGAAUAAUUUUUCUAGCAAAAAAGAAGGAAAGUAUAGGAAUCUGUCACCUGCUCGUCCUCCCAAACAAAGUUUGUGAAGAGGAGCGUAAAACUUCUAGUUCUAAAAUAUCCCAAAUGCAUGAGGAUUCCUUUACAGAAUGGCCGAGUCUUUGCAUGAAAAUGGAAGAACCCAGCUGCCCAUUUGUUUAGUAAUUCCCAUCUAGGAAAAUUGCUACAUGCUACUGUUUGCAAUGACAUUAAAAAAAAAAAAA